GGUGUAGCUCAGCGGGAGAGCACUACGUUGACAUCGUAGGGGUCACAGGUUCAAUCCCUGUCACGCCCACCA
rnacentral:tRNA from 2 species